UACAUAGGGUGCAAGCGUUGUCCGGAAUUAUUGGGCGUAAAGAGCUCGUAGGUGGUUCGUCACGUCGGAUGUGAAAAUCUGGGGCUCAACCCUAGACCUGCAUUCGAUACGGGCGAGCUAGAGUGUGGUAGGGGAGACUGGAAUUCCUGGUGUAGCGGUGGAAUGCGCAGAUAUCAGGAGGAACACCAAUGGCGAAGGCAGGUCUCUGGGCCAUUACUGACACUGAGGAGCGAAAGCGUGGGGAGCGAACAGGAUUAGAUACCCUGGUAGUCCACGCCGUAAACGGUGGGCACUAGUUGUGGGGACCUUCCACGGUCUCUGCGACGCAGCUAACGCAUUAAGUGCCCCGCCUGGGGAGUACGAUCGCAAGAUUAAAACUCAAAGGAAUUGACGGGGCCCCGCACAAGCAGCGGAGCAUGCGGCUUAAUUCGACGCAACGCGAAGAACCUUACCAAGGCUUGACAUGUACCGGAAUGCGGCAGAGAUGUCACAGCUGUAAAAGGUCGGUGCACAGGUGGUGCAUGGUUGUCGUCAGCUCGUGUCGUGAGAUGUUGGGUUAAGUCCCGCAACGAGCGCAACCCUCGUUCUGUGUUGCCAGCAUUUAGUUGGGGACUCACAGGAGACUGCCGGGGUCAACUCGGAGGAAGGUGGGGAUGACGUCAAAUCAUCAUGCCCCUUAUGUCUUGGGCUGCACGCAUGCUACAAUGGCCGGUACAAAGGGCUGCAAUACCGCAAGGUGGAGCGAAUCCCAAAAAGCCGGUCUCAGUUCGGAUUGGGGUCUGCAACUCGACCCCAUGAAGUUGGAGUUGCUAGUAAUCGCAGAUCAGCAACGCUGCGGUGAAUACGUUCCCGGGGCU
rnacentral:rRNA from 1 species